rnacentral:sRNA from 1 species
UGCCCCUUAUACGCUGGGCUACACACGUGCUACAAUGGGUAGUACAGAGAGUCGCAAAGCCGCGAGCUGGAGCUAAUCUCAGAAAACUAUUCUUAGUUCGGAUUGUACUCUGCAACUCGAGUACAUGAAGUUGGAAUCGCUAGUAAUCGCGAAUCAGCAAUGUCGCGGUGAAUACGUUCUCGGGUCUUGUACACACCGCCCGUCACACCACGAGAGUUGGUUGCACCUGAAGUAGCAGGCCUAACCGUAAGGAGGGAUGCUCCGAGGGUGUGAUUAGCGAUUGGGGUGAAGUCGUAACAAGGUAUCCGUACGGGAACGUGCGGAUGGAUCACCUCCUUUCUAAGGAGUAUAUGUCUUUCUCUAUUCUAUUGGUAAUGUUCUUUACAUUACUUCUGAACAUUGGAAACUAUAUAGUAGAACAAACAAGAAAAAAAAUUAACUCUAACAAUUUCUUAGAGUUAGCUGUCAAAAAAUAGGUUAAAAUAAUUAAGGGCACACAAAGGAUGCCUUGGUAGUAAGAGCCGAUGAAGGACGUGGUAAGCUGCGAUAAGCCUAG